CCCAGUCAUGAAAUUACUCUGCCAUCCAUGGGAUUUCAACCCGUGAACUUCCAGUCCUAUUAUACAGAGCCACAUGCCGAACCCUGAGUCAGAGCCCAACCUACUACCCCACACUACUGUGAUGACAUUCUCCCAGUGCAACACGGCUGUGACCUUUCUGUUACCAGUCCUCACUGAGAACAUCGAUGCUGGUGUGGCGUCCUCCUCUUUGGUUAACGACAUGUUCCUAUUAGUCUUGCAGGUCGUGCUCUGGUCUUGAUGACCAACUUCAUCGACAUCAUGGUGUGGAUGGGGAUUGGGAGAUGCUUGUCAAUAACAAUCAGGAUAAGCCCGUCUUUCUCAGUCUGGUCCUUGGGGAUCGACAGACAGUCCUCGUUUUCGCUCGAAAUGUGGACUUUCUGGCAUGGAGCUCUGAGGGAACAAAAACAUGGACUGACUGUGGGUUACCCGUGGAUCAGAAUGGUAAACACUGGGUUAAGCAAUGUGAUGGCGGACCUCUUACCAGGAGUGGGAACAGAUGGAUGAAAAAGCAAAGACUCAGUAGGCUAAGCCUCUGUGCCUGAUCAGAAGGUUACCAGUUCAAGCCCCAGCCUCCGCUGAAUAGUCACAUGUGCGUGAGCCCUUGAUCAAAGCCCUUAACCCUCUGAGCUGUGACCCCCAAGUUUGCUCUCAUCUGUAUAUGUGUCUGUGUGUUUCAUGGAGAGAAAGAUGGGGUAGGUGAAGAGGGAAUUUCCCCAUGGGGAUUAAUAAAGUAUCACUAUUCUACUAUUCAGUUCUGUAAACUGCUUGUUGCAUCACUUGAGAUUAGAGGUCAGGCCUUUAUAAAGGCAGAAAUAUUCCUCUGACAUUUGGUUGAAUUUUGAGAACAAUGCACUGGGCUGCUGUAUUGUAUUGUUAUAAUGACCCACUGAGGACUCUACUCUCUGCUUUCCAUGACCUUUAUGCUGCUGCUGGCUGUAUAGGUUAACGGCUUAGAACAUUAGGGACAGUUUCUGGUGCUGAAUUCCCCGCUCUCUCCUCUGUGGAGACCAUGCACAGCAAUUGAACUUUCUGUCUGUAAGGCAACGGGGCAAGACUCCAACCCAUUAGAAAGAACCUUUGCAUCCAUCCAUCUCCACGUAUCCAAUAAUGGUGGAGUCUAGCAUCUGUUCCAAGAAGUUUAAGGCAAAAGGCAGGAGCUCACCCUGGGCAAGAUGCCAGUCCAUCGCAGCUUGGGUCAUAAGUUACACCAAAAUUUACAAUGAGUCAAUAAAUGCAGGCUUAAGAAGCCACUUGUUUCCUACCUGAGCUGUUCUCAUACUCUGCCCCAGAUGCCCCCCUCGAAUUCAUAAGCACCUAAUGUUUUCUAAACACUUUCUGAAGCACCAAGCCCACAAUCGAGAAAGUAUAAGUGCCACAGUCUCCCAUCUGCCUUGAGCUGCACCAAACGCAUUCCUGUCAGCUGAAAUCAUCCCUUCCGUGUCCAGCGGCUGAGCCCUGGGUACAGGAAGCUUUCUCCGGUCCGGGCUACAGACACGAAGACGUCUGAAAAGACUCGCGUGUCUGACCCUCAUCCAUUUCCAUGCCCCCGACCCAGAUAGAGCCAGACAGGUCGACUGUGACCCCCAGAAUGAUCUAGACCACCACCACCGAGACGGUUCGGAGAGGCUGCCCACCCCCGUCAUGUCACCACGGCGACAUGAUCGGAGGUGCCACCUGCCUGGACCAUUUAUGACACGGGGACUUAAGGAGGACCAGCCUCCCGUCAGCUCUCUCUUCAGUCUGGCUGUGUGGGCGGGUGCUGGACUUUCUUUGAAUCAGCAGGUGCCCCAUCAUCAGAGUAAGGAGAAGGCUUACAGUAAACACCCACCCAUCUUCCAGAAGGCAGCGGUACCCCCUGGACAGGAUGCCAGGCCAUUACCUCAGUGCAAACGCACAUGCACCAACACACUAAGGGCAGUAUAGAGAUGCUAAUCAGUCUGCCUGUAUUAGAUUAACCUGGAAGUGCAGAACAGCUGCACUAUAGGAACAGCUGCACAAUAUAAACAUGUGAUAAAUAAAUAGAAAAUGUACAUCUUUACAGGGGUAUAAAUAGUGGGCAUGUACAGCACCUGCGAUGGCAGUAGAAAAAUGAGAGUGUGUAUGCGAGUUCUGCAUGCCUCUGGGUUGUAGGAGAACCAGUGAAAAGCCCCCAAACAGGAUUCAAGCCUCCACCCUGGGGAGCGUGAGACAGUAGUGCUACCUACCGAUCCAGCCCUUAUGACAAGUUUUCAGUAAUGUUAGUAUGCGCAGGGGGGUAGGGUAGCCAGUUGACCUUAGACCCCCUGAGGUUUUUAUUCCUCCGUACUUGGGAGUUUUUGGUUCCUAUCCUCCUUUGUCAUCUGGUUUUCUUUAUUUAAUUUCUUUCUUUCCUUUUUUUCCUUUCUCCUGUUCUGUAUCUCUCUCUCUAAUGAUGUUUAAUGUAUCACCACACAUCCAUGUAAACGACACUGUUGUAGAAUUGAAAUUGAAAUGAAUUAUGAUAAAGUAACUGCUUAUGAAUAA